GUCGAACGCUGGCGGCGUGCCUAAUACAUGCAAGUCGAACGCAGUGGGGACGGGUGAGUAACACGUGGGUAACCUCCCAUCAGAGGGGAUAAAACUUGGAAACAGGUGCUAAACAGAUACUGGUGGAUGAAACCGCGGUGCAUUAGCUAGUUGGUGAGGUAACGGCUCACCAAGGCCACGAUGCAUAGCCUACCUGAUAGGGUGAGCGGCCACACUGGGACUGAGAAACGGCCCAGACUCCUACGUGAGGCAGCAGUAGGGAAUCUUCGGCAAUGGACGAAAGUCUGACCGAGCAACGCCGCGUGAGUGAAGAAGGUUUUCGGAUCGUAAAACUCUGUUGUUAGAGAAGCGGUAUCUAACCAGAAAGCAACGGCUAACUACGUGCCAGCAGCCGCGGUAAUUC
rnacentral:rRNA from 1 species